AAGACUACACUUCACAGGUUCAUAUCUGUAGUAAAUGUUCAAUACUUUCCGAUUAAUUUGAGCUUAAACCAAACUGCUAAUUUUUCUGUUAUUAAAGU